rnacentral:rRNA from 1 species
GAUGAACGCUGGCGGCGUGCUUAGCACAUGCAAGUCGAACGGAAAGGCUCCUGCUUGCAGGGGUACUCGAGUGGCGAACGGGUGAGUAACACGUGGGUGAUCUGCCCUGCACUUCGGGAUAAGCCUGGGAAACUGGGUCUAAUACCGGAUAGGACGAUGGUUUGGAUGCCAUUGUGGAAAGUUUUUCGGUGUGGGAUGAGCUCGCGGCCUAUCAGCUUGUUGGUGGGGUAAUGGCCUACCAAGGCGUCGACGGGUAGCCGGCCUGAGAGGGUGUACGGCCACAUUGGGACUGAGAUACGGCCCAGACUCCUACGGGAGGCAGCAGUGGGGAAAAUUGCACAAUGGGCGCAAGCCUGAUGCAGCGACGCCGCGUGGGGGAUGACGGCCUUCGGGUUGUAAACUCCUUUCGCUAGGGACGAAGCGCAAGUGACGGUACCUGGAGAAGAAGCACCGGCUAACUACGUG